rnacentral:rRNA from 1 species
UACGAAGGGGGGCUAGCGUUGCUCGGAAUUACUGGGCGUAAAGGGCGCGUAGGCGGUUCUAUAAGUCAGGCGUGAAAUUCCUGGGCUUAACCUGGGGGCUGCGCUUGAGACUGUGGGACUUGAGGUCAGAAGAGGGUCGUGGAAUUCCCAGUGUAGAGGUGAAAUUCGUAGAUAUUGGGAAGAACACCGGUGGCGAAGGCGGCGACCUGGUCUGGACUACUGACGGCUG